UAUGUGAUCGUCUCUCGCAUAUCAAUAAGCGGAGGAAAAGAAACUAACAAGGAUUCCCCUAGUAACGGCGAGUGAAGCGGGAAGAGCUCAAAUUUGAAAUCUUAAAGGGUUUCCCUUUACGAAUUGUAGUUUAAAGAAGUGUUUUCUGUUGAGGUUUUGGUAAAAGUUCUUUGGAAUAGGACAUCAUAGAGGGUGAGAAUCCCGUAUUUGACCUUUACUUUCAACUUUGUGAUACACUUUCAAAGAGUCGGAUUGUUUGGGAAUGCAGUCCAAAAUGGGUGGUAAAUUUCAUCUAAAGCUAAAUAUUGGCGAGAGACCGAUAGCGAACAAGUACCGUGAGGGAAAGAUGAAAAGAACUUUGAAAAGAGAGUUAAACAGUACGUGAAAUUGUCAAAAGGGAAGCGUUUGACACCAGUGUUGUUUUUCUGAAAAUCAAUUAAAGAACUGUUUAUGCUAAGCUGUUUAGACUUUAUCAGCUAAUCUGUUUAGUUUUGAGCUUUUCUUUAAUGCACUUUUCAGUUAACAAGUCAACAUCAAUUUCUUUUGCUGUAAAAAAGCUUGAGGAAGGUGGCUUGAGAUUCGUCUUAAGUGUUUAUAGCCUCUUGCCUAUGCAGUCGGAGAGAUUGAGGUCUGCAACGUAGAUCCUUCGGGGCUAAAUGCAUUUGUGCUAAGUUAUAGCAUUUUAUAGACAACUUGUUGACUAUGAUUUGUCUUGUAGCUUACUCGCUUAUGUUAUUUUACCUACGCUUAGGAUGUUGACACACGCGCGUGCUCG
rnacentral:rRNA from 1 species